CCUACGGGUGGCUGCAGUGGGGAAUAUUGCACAAUGGGCGCAAGCCUGAUGCAGCCAUGCCGCGUGUGUGAAGAAGGCCUUCGGGUUGUAAAGCACUUUCAGCGGGGAGGAAGGCGGUGAGGUUAAUAACCUCAUCGAUUGACGUUACCCGCAGAAGAAGCACCGGCUAACUCCGUGCCAGCAGCCGCGGUAAUACGGAGGGUGCAAGCGUUAAUCGGAAUUACUGGGCGUAAAGCGCACGCAGGCGGUCUGUCAAGUCGGAUGUGAAAUCCCCGGGCUCAACCUGGGAACUGCAUUCGAAACUGGCAGGCUAGAGUCUUGUAGAGGGGGGUAGAAUUCCAGGUGUAGCGGUGAAGUGCGUAGAGAUCGGGAGGAAUACCGGUGGCGAAGGCGGCCCCCUGGACAAAGACUGACGCUCAGGUGCGAAAGCGUGGGGAGCAAACAGGAUUAGAUACCCGAGUAGUC
rnacentral:rRNA from 1 species